rnacentral:lncRNA from 1 species
CCUAUCACAAGCCAGUACAGAGUAGAUAUCAGCAGAUGCCCACCAUGCCUUUUCAAGGCAAUCCUAAUGAAUGUGUCACUGCAACACAGCUCCAUAAUGGAGCCUGAUUGACUGACACACAUUCAACCGCGCAGA